CUUGCACUGGUGGGGUCCCUCGGCCUGGCCUGCAUCCUCUCACAAUCCAGGAUCCCAACGGGGGAUUUCAGAGAGCUGGUUUCAGCCCAAACCCUGCAGGCCAGGCCAAGGGACUCCACCGGUGCAUA
rfam:Myotis davidii contig206657, whole genome shotgun sequence.